rnacentral:rRNA from 2 species
UGGGGAAUAUUGCACAAUGGAGGAAACUCUGAUGCAGCGACGCCGCGUGAGUGAAGAAGUAAUUCGUUAUGUAAAGCUCUAUCAGCAGGGAAGAUAGUGACGGUACCUGACUAAGAAGCUCCGGCUAAAUACGUGCCAGCAGCCGCGGUAAUACGUAUGGAGCAAGCGUUAUCCGGAUUUACUGGGUGUAAAGGGAGUGUAGGUGGCCAUGCAAGUCAGAAGUGAAAAUCCGGGGCUCAACCCCGGAACUGCUUUUGAAACUGUAAGGCUGGAGUGCAGGAGGGGUGAGUGGAAUUCCUAGUGUAGCGGUGAAAUGCGUAGAUAUUAGGAGGAACACCAGUGGCGAAGGCGGCUCACUGGACUGUAACUGACACUGAGGCUCGAAAGCGUGGGGAGCAAACAGG